GCCCGCCCGCGCCUGCGGCUGCCUGCGCCGGACUGGAGAGCGCGGAGGGCCGACCUGACCCGCCGAAAGGGCCUGAGGCGAGGGGAGCCCGGGUCCCGGGGCCUUGGGGAAGGACCCGCAGCCGCACGCCGGCCCCAAGUGCAAAGCAUUGACACGACCCCGAGCGGAGAGGGGGCGCCCUCCUUCUCCCGCGCCCAGAGGCCCGGCCGCUCUGGCCCGAGCCCCAGCCUGGCCUCCGACCCAGCUCCGGGUCGUGGCGCCGCCUGGGGGUCCCUGCGCCCCGGAAAGAGACAGCAGGCACUGGAAAGCGAGGCCGGUGGGCGGGCGAGUCGGGAGGCUCGGGCGGCCGAGGUCCGGGAGCGGAUCCCAGGUGGCGGGAGCUGGUGAGUGGAGCCAUGGCCGAGCCCUGCUGGGGCCGGCGCGGGCGGGAGCGGGACGCGGCCUUGCGCUGGGGAAACGCGGGGACCCCCUACCCGCGCCCGCCUUCACCGGAAGACUCGGAAGGAACCUGGAGUUCUCCGCAGGCCCGGGCCCCGCCCUGAGCUUUCCAGCGGCCGGGAGGAGCGGAUCCUCGGGGCCAGGAAGGUGAGCGCACCUUUCGCUGAGCACAGGGCGGCACCGCGCGGGCGGACCCCGGAUUCUCCACCCGCGACCCAACGAAUUUUCGCCCUAUCCGGUACCGGAGACGAAAGUCUCCUUCUUCCGAAAUACCGGCUUCCUCUCUUCGCCCUGCCAACCACUUUUUUAGUUUCUUCUCAUCUCUCGGAAGCGCACGUCUCCUAAGUUAAGGAGUGCUGAGUAACGCGUGAGGGAGUUGGGGUGUCUGCGAGCACCUGUGAUUGAAGCCCCCUCUUCUGUGAUCAGUCUUCGUUUUCUGUCUUCCGGCAGCCUCAGUUUCCCCCCCAUGAAGUGAUGGUGUGUGUGUGUGUGUGUGUGUGUGUGUGUGUGUGUGUGUGUGUGUCGGGCCCCGUGUGGUGCCCUCUGUGCGCAGCGAGAGCUAUAACUCAAGGUGUGCACGGGGAGAGUGAAGCGACCACGCACCUGCUUCCAAUCGGGCUCGGGCGCGAACACUCAGGCUGAUUCCUGAAGGUCGUUUUCUGAAGGAAAAGACAGAGCAUGCACUAGCCACGGGUGACAUUCCCACCCGUACAACCGCGUGGUGGGCGCGUACAUCCAACAUUGACCCAUGCAGGCGCCCGCCCACUGCGCACACCGGUCGCAGGGCACUUCGUUGUUGAACGUUGGGAGCAGCGUUUGAAGGCCGGAUCUCUCCUGGCAGUGCGGAUUCGGGACCGGCGGAAGCAGUAUGGCCUCUGCGACCGUUAUCCCUACUUUUCGGGGCCGACCCCAGGGCCCUCACAACUCCUCAUCACCGCAUAUGUGAGCGCCGCCCCCACAGGGUUUUCUCCACGACCUCGUUCUUGGCUAGGUCGCACCUCUCUUAGUACCUCCUCUCUGGCCAGAACGAAUCUUUGACUCCGAGCUGCGCAGUCUACGCAGACGGGGCAGGAUCCACUGCAGUUUUCCACAGGCAAAUACCUGCUGGCUCCACCUUAGGCGAGAUGUGGCCUCUCGGGGAGGGACCCGUUGUGGACACGUUUGCGCAGCCGGUGAGGUGACCAGAUAAUAACCAGGGCAGCUUUCCUUAGCCGGGAACCCAGGUACCGGCCUAGGAAUCCGUGAAUACAUUCGCAAAGUCGCGCGCGCGCGCGCGCGCGUGUGUGUGUGUGUGUGUGUGUGUGUGUGUGUAGACACAUACUUUUGUCCUUGUAAGAGUAUGUGUACAUCUAAAUGUGUGCGUUUUAGACAUUAGUCCAUUUCAUUAGUCCAUCCAUAGCUGGUCCAGGGGUCCGAGGCCUGAAGAGUUUGAAACACUCAGGCCUGGGUUAUUUGACCGAGAAACCUGGCGGCGACAGUGCAGCGGCUGCAUCUGGGGACGGCGACCCCACCUACAGUGGCACCGACCUUCCCUCUGGCUUUCCGGGGCUCUGUCCGGGCCAGGAUCCCACCACUCGCCCCGCCCCGCGGUCCCGCGAUCACCCUGAGGUCCUGCUGCAGCCGCUCUGAAGAGUCUGUAGCGACCCCCAGCCAAACUCUCCAGCUAGGAAUGCCCGAGGCUCACCGAAAGCUGGCGCUGGGGAGGCCUGGGAGGCCCUGGAGCGGCGCCGUGAGGCCUCCGCUGGGCCCCUCCCCCACCUAGGCCGGCCCCCUCCCCCUUCCCAGGAACCCCCUCCCCUGGCGGAGCCCCGGGGGCCGAGUGUGCGUGUUCCUUUAAGAGGCCCCGGGGGGCGCCUCGCGGGCCGCCCGGGGCUGGAGGGGGAGGGCGCGGGCGGGGGCGGCUGGCGCCAGGCGGCCGAGGCUCCACAACAAAGCUCCGGCCCCUGUCACUUCGCAUCGGCCAGGUCCCGCAGACAGGCGGGGGACGCGCGCUCGGCCGCCCCUCCCUCUCGCAGGCGGUCUCCGGCCAGGGCGUCGGGCGGGCUUGGGCUGGUGGCGCGCGGUCUGUGCGCCCCGCGCUUCCCGCAACAGUGAAAUGGGGCGGGAGCGGGGACGGCCUGGGCCGGGUGGGGCCGCGGUCCUGAGCCUGGCGUGGCUGCCCUUCCGUCCUCCGGCCCCGUCACCUCUCGCAGGGUUAAGGGGCACUGCUGGGACCUUCCCCGGGUUGAGCCUCCAGGUGGCAGGGGGUCCCCGCCGCUUCCUCCUCUGUGUGCAGGGCCGGGGUUGCGUGACCCCGCGGGCAGUGGGCAGCAGGAAGCUCGGGCUGUGCGGCCGCGUGGCAGAGCGGACGACGGACUUGCGUCCGAGUGACGGGGCGCGGGCUGCAGACUGGCUUAAGCCCUCGGUGGCAGACGAAUGUGCCCAGGCUAAGCUCAGGGGACGUGUGUGGCCCCGUGCUAUGGGCCCGCUGUGAGGGUGCCGCCAGGCCGUCGAUCACUGCCUGGACGUGAGGAGUGUGGUGGUGAAGGACACUCCCUGGACAGAGUCGCUUCCCAUCACGGCUUCCCCGCCGGACCGCACCUCCCGGAGCCCUGGCGCCAGCCAGCCCGGUUUAGCGGCCGGACCGGGCUCCCCCGCGGUCCCAGGUCUGGUUGGGGUGGGGGCCGCGGCCUCGGUGACCCCAGCCCGCAGCGGCCCGGCCCGUCCCGUCCACUUAAACAAAUUGCCGCUGACAGGCGCGCAGUCUCUCUGGAGCCGCCGCCCUCCCGUCGCCUCCCUCCCGUCCCAAUUAUCCCGCGCAGGGUGGGGCCAACUGGCUGGGAUGGGGCGGGGGACGCGGGGAGAGCGGGCGGCUCGACUCCCUCCUGGUCGCGGGGUGGCCCGGGGAAGCGUCUCCGCAGCCACGGCCUGUGUGGCCCCGUCCCUGGUCUUCCCGGGGGAUGCGAGGGCAAGGCCCAGCCUGGCAGCUGUGGGCCCUGGAAGGGCGUCGUUCUGCACCUAAGGGCGAGAUCACGCGGCCGAGAACCAAGGCCGCAUCCCGGAUGGACUUCGGGUGACUUUCCCGGAGUUCUGGGGAAUCCCCUAACCCGGGGAGCUGCAGACGACUCACUGGCCCCGGGCCGCGGUUCCGCGGGUGGCCGCUGUACGCUUGAGACACCUGGUCCGCAGAAGUCAGGUGCACGUCUGUGCACCGUCGUGCGUUGGAUGUGCAUGGAGGCGAGAUCGUGGUUAUGGAUGUCUGGGAUCACGGGAGCGUGAACGGGGCGAUCGACUGAGUGACUUGAGAGACGGGGUAGAGCGCAGGAAGGACCCCUAGGACGGGCCCACCUGCGACGGGCGGCGGUGGGGGAGUGGGGGGCUUGCCGGCGCGUUCACAGGCUCUGGGUUCGCGUUCGGAAACGCUUUCGCAGGGAGCGGGUCGGGAUUCCCCGGAGCAGCACGGUGACGGCGUGCCACAAUCCGGGCUCCAGCUGUGCCGCCUCCGCCCUCCCCAUCCCUGCUAAGGGGCACCUGGCCUGGCUGUCAACUUCCCCUCGAACCAUGGGUUUGCCUUGUGGACCCGCAGCUUCCCCUCUGCCUGCUUCUGCUCUGUCGCGCCUUCGGAAGGGCAUGCUGCUCUCUCCCCUCCACUCCCUCCUUUACACAUGAGGACCCUGAAUCCCAGAGGUGCAGUCAUGUACCCAAGGCCACGUACCUGCUGGUGGCAGAGCUGGGAUGGGACCCUGGGACCUUAAAGAGAGCAAGUCCAAACCCACUCCUAAGAAGCCGGUGCUGCUGAGCUGCCUACCCCUGCUCCUACAGCAAGGUGAUCCUGAGAUGCCAGGGCUGCCACCCUCCCCUGGGCUCUUGCUCUGAAUUCGAGACAUACAGGAUGCACUGUCCCUUUGCCUCUAGAGCCUCCAGUUCUAGGUCUGCAGUGGGAGGGCUGCCUUCCAGCUACACAGGGGCAAGGGAGCAGCUGCAAAUUCAGUCUCUCAGCCCAGGCAGGAAGCCUGAUGGAGUCAGGAUGGGGAUCAGUGGGGUCAGCAUUCUGGAUGGGAUAGGGGCACAGGACAGGGAGGUCAGUUCGGAUUUGGGUCCCUCUAAGGGAACUGGCCAGGGUGUGAAGCAGCCAGGUGCAGACAGGGAUAGGCUCACUAGGCGUGUGACUUUGUGACCUUGGGCAAGGCCCUGCCCUUCUCUGGGGCUCAGGCUUGCUUGUCAUCUGCAAAAAAAAUGAGGCUCGAACAGAACUCUCAGGUACUUUCUAGUUUCAUGAGUCCCUGAAUUGUGAAAAUAAAAAAUUACCACUGAGAAACCAUAUACACUUCCAGACUGGUGGCUGCCUAGCCUGGCCUCUGCUCCUUGACAGAGGGGCUGGCCCUGGUGUUUGAGCUUGUGUGCUUGAAUUGGCCUCAGGCCCACCGUGCCUUUUCUCAUCUCAGACAGUACUCUUGCUCCUUCAGUUGCCACGCUGGCUCCCACCGGCCUCUUUCCAGAUCAUGAAGGUAUUUUUCCUUCAUCAAAUUGAGAGGAAGUCCGUAGUAAAGCUGCCCGUUGACCAGGUAGUGCCGAGAGAAUCGGUAGGUCACAUGGAUUCCUAAAGGUCCCCUGAUCAGCCACAGUUUGAUUCAUGUUCUGAUGCCCUCCCAGAUGAUGCCACCAUUAGGUCUGCUGGGGCUGGGGGUGAGUCCCAGAUUGCCCUGGAUGUUAUCUGUAGAGGAUAGGAAGCGGCUGCUCUGGGGCCAGUGGCCAGUAAGGUCCCCAACCCUGGGGCCCAGCUCUCCCUUCCAGCUGAUUACAGGCUAUGGCAGGCUCCAUAACCUCCCCAAUUAGCCGGAGGCCAGGCCCAAGGCCUUUCUGAUAACCUGAGCUCCAGUGGCAGCCGCUGUGGGGCCAGCUUAUCUGGUCUCUCUUAUCCUCACCCUUCCCCCACAUACUCAAAGAGUUGCCCUGACUUCAAGCAGAUGAAUAACCAGAUUGUCCUGCAAGCUCAGCCGGCAAGUCCAGCCCUACACCCACCACUUUCCCUGCCUGGGGGAGGCCACAGCUGUUUUGCCCCUGCUGGAGGGGAAGGGCCGGGCCAGGGAGGACUCCUGACUCUGUAAGCUGCCAGCCAGUUCCCUGAAUGGUUGAGAGAGCCCCUGGCAGCAAGGUCUCUGCCACAUCCACGUGUCCUGGGGUGGUUUCAGAGGGGCUCAUGCUUCCUAGGGCAGCUGAACCCAUCCCCAGGAAGACAGGCCAUGGGCAGCAUGCACAGGUGCCCUGGCAGGAGGGACUGGCUUAUGCCACCCUGUGCAGGAUCGUCUUCUCAGCUUACAGAGCCUAGUGUGAUUCAACAACCCUCCAUCUCUGCCCCCAACAUGCCCAACUGAUCUGGUGGAGGGAACUGAAGAUGAAGGCCUCUCAGGCACCAUGGAUGGGAUGGGUGUGUGUGAAGGGGGCAGGGUCCCCAGGAGCUGCCCCAGGUCUGGCUGGACAGUUGCACGGGAAGUCCUGUUUGUGAACUCAACGUUUCCACGGCUUUUCCAUUAAACUUUACCCCAAAUCACACCUGGCUCUGUGGGUUUCCUUCCAUUCUCCAAGGCCUCCCUGGGGUCUCUGGGAAGUGUGGGCCAGGGAAGGGGGCAAAGGACUAGCAUUCGUCUCCUUCCUGCUCAAUGCACCAUUUUUUCUCCCUGUUCCUGUCUCUGUUGCCACUUACUUUAGGUCCGGAAGUGGUGGUGGUGGGGCGGGGGGACAAAAUCAGGAACGUGUCAUCUGAGGGUUCCGGCCAGGUUUCAUGAGAUACCCACCUUCACCUGACCACCCUUCCAUCUUCUGAGUUAAAAAGAGGCAAUUACAACAAGGUGCCCCCCAGAUGAGGCUUUGCCAGACUCUCCCCUUGACAGCAACCCACCAGCACAUGGCAAGCCCUGAUCCCCAGGGAGGAGGGUCCAACCCU
rnacentral:lncRNA from 1 species